rnacentral:rRNA from 1 species
ACUCCUGCGGGAGGCAGCAGUGGGGAAUUUUGGACAAUGGGCGAAAGCCUGAUCCAGCCAUGCCGCGUGCAGGAUGAAGGCCUUCGGGUUGUAAACUGCUUUUGUACGGAACGAAACGGCCUUUUCUAAUAAAGAGGGCUAAUGACGGUACCGUAAGAAUAAGCACCGGCUAACUACGUGCCAGCAGCCGCGGUAAUACGUAGGGUGCAAGCGUUAAUCGGAAUUACUGGGCGUAAAGCGUGCGCAGGCGGUUAUGUAAGACAGUUGUGAAAUCCCCGGGCUCAACCUGGGAACUGCAUCUGUGACUGCAUAGCUAGAGUACGGUAGAGGGGGAUGGAAUUCCGCGUGUAGCAGUGAAAUGCGUAGAUAUGCGGAGGAACACCGAUGGCGAAGGCAAUCCCCUGUACCUGUACUGACGCUCAGGCACGAAAGCGUGGGGAGCAAACAGGAUUAGAAACCCGAGUAGUCCCAUGAU